UACGUAGGUGGCAAGCGUUGUCCGGAUUUAUUGGGUUUAAAGGGUGCGUAGGCGGCCUUGUAAGUCAGUGGUGAAAUACUCCAGCUUAACUGGAGGGGUGCCAAUGAUACUGCAGGGCUUGAGUACAGAUGAGGUAGGCGGAAUUGACGGUGUAGCGGUGAAAUGCAUAGAUAUCGGCAAGAACACCGAUAGCGAAGGCAGCUUACUGGGCUGUAACUGACGCUGAGGCACGAAAGUGUGGGGAUCAAACAGG
rnacentral:rRNA from 1 species